UACGAAGGGGGCUAGCGUUGCUCGGAAUCACUGGGCGUAAAGGGCGCGUAGGCGGGCUGUCAAGUCUGGGGUGAAAUGCCGCGGCUCAACCGUGGAACUGCCUUAGAUACUUGACGGCCUCGAGGAAGGUAGGGGCAUGCGGAACUGUAGGUGGAGCGGUGAAAUGCGUUGAUAUCUACAGGAACUCCGGUGGCGAAAGCGGCGUGCUGGACCUUUUCUGACGCUGAGGCGCGAAAGCUAGGGGAGCAAACGGG
rnacentral:rRNA from 1 species